CUGUGAAACAAGAUACAGGCUAGCGGCGGACGGGUGAGUAACACGUGGGUAACCUGCCCAAGAGAUCGGGAUAACACCUGGAAACAGAUGCUAAUACCGGAUAACAACAGAUGAUGCCUAUCAACUGUUUAAAAGAUGGUUCUGCUAUCACUCUUGGAUGGACCUGCGGUGCAUUAGCUAGUUGGUAGGGUAACGGCCUACCAAGGCGAUGAUGCAUAGCCGAGUUGAGAGACUGAUCGGCCACAUUGGGGCUGAGACACGGCCCAAACUCCUACGGGAGGCAGCAGUAGGGAAUCCUCCACAAUGGACGCAAGUCUGAUGGAGCAACGCCGCGUGAGUGAAGAAGGGUUUCGGCUCGUAAAGCUCUGUUGUUGGUGAAGAAGGACAGGGGUAGUAACUGACCUUUGUUUGACGGU
rnacentral:rRNA from 1 species